CGAUCGGCGAAUAGCUCCCUGGUUGAUCCUGCCAGUAGUCAUAUGCUUGUCUCAAAGAUUAAGCCAUGCAUGUCUCAGUACAAGCCAAAUUAAGGUGAAACCGCGAAAGGCUCAUUAAAUCAGUUAUGGUUCCUUAGAUCGUACCCACACUUACUUGGAUAACUGUGGUAAUUCUAGAGCUAAUACAUGCAAACAGAGUUCCAACCGGAGACGGAAGGAGCGCUUUUAUUAGAUCAAAA